UACGUAGGGGGCAAGCGUUGUCCGGAAUCAUUGGGCGUAAAGCGCGCGUAGGCGGCCCGGUAAGUCCGCUCUGAAAGUCCAGGGCUCAACCCUGGAAAGCGGGUGGAUACUGCCGGGCUAGAAUCCGGAAGAGGCGAGUGGAAUUCCUGGUGUAGCGGGUGGAAUGCGCAGAUAUCAGGAGGAACACCAAUAGCGAAGGCAGCUCGCUGGGACGGUAUUGACGCUAAGGCGCGAAAGCCAGGGGAGCAAACGGG
rnacentral:rRNA from 1 species